rnacentral:lncRNA from 1 species
CCCCCAUAAGAACCCCUAUAAAUAGAGGGCACCCCCCACUCAUUAAAGCAAGUCAUUUGGAGAAGAAGAAUUCCUAGCGAAGCAGAGCUCUGCACACUUGAGUUCCGGUCUGGUUUCCCGCGGAGUUCCCCGCUUGGCGCUUGCUUGCGCGUCUUGGAGUACUGGUCGGGUUUCACCCCCAUCAGUUGGCACCGUCUGUGACUCAAAGAUACUCACGACAAAAGCUCCUCGACUUUUUCGAAAAAAGUGAUCGACUUUUUUCUAAGUCGCCAGCUAGG